rnacentral:tRNA from 1 species
GCUUGGGUAGCUCAGUUGGUAGAGCACUUGCCUGGGAAAGGCAAAGGUCCCGAGUUCGAGUCUCGGUCCGGCGCA